UGCUGGCCGGCGCGGUCGCGCAGGCGCUGCCGUUGCGCCGCGGGGUGGCGUUGAGCCGCUGGUUCGAAGCCAGCGCCGGCGC
rnacentral:tRNA from 1 species